rnacentral:ncRNA from 2 species
AUCUUAUCCAGAGUGGCUGAGGGGCCAGGCCCGACGACGCCACAGCAACCGGUCUACUGUUGCACGUUCCCAACGUGCGGCACGCGAUGCAGGUGCUAACUCCUGCCCGGCAAACGCCGCGGCUCCCGAACAACGGGGGAAGCGGUAUGGCCGGGGAAGAUAAGAU